rnacentral:rRNA from 1 species
GAUGAACGCUGGCGGCGUGCCUAAUACAUGCAAGUCGAGCGAACGGACGAGAAGCUUGCUUCUCUGAUGUUAGCGCCGGACGGGUGAGUAACACGUGGAUAACCUACCUAUAAGACUGGGAUAACUUCGGGAAACCGGAGCUAAUACCGGAUGAUAUUUUGAACCGCAUGGUUCAAAAGUGAAAGACGGUCUUGCUGUCACUUAUAGAUGGAUCCGCGCUGCAUUAGCUAGUUGGUAAGGUAAUGGCUUACCAAGGCAACGAUGCAUAGCCGACCUGAGAGGGUGAUCGGCCACACUGGAACUGAGACACGGUCCAGACUCAUACGGGAGGCAGCAGUGGGGAAUCUUCCGCAAUGGGCGAAAGCCUGACGGAGCAACGCCGCGGGAGUGAUGAAGGUCUUCGGAUCGUAAAACUCUGUUAUUAGGGAAGAACAUAUGUGUAAGUAACUGUGCACAUCUUGACGGUACCUAAGCAGAAAGCCACGGCUAACUACGG